AAGGUGAACAGACAGGAAGGACCUGCGGCUCCUACUGAGUGUGCUGCCGUAGAGCCUUCCAGAGCUGACUCACACAUAGCCAGAGAGGAUCCAGGAAAGCCUGCAGGCAAAGGGAUGGUGUGUGGUAAGACAGAAAGGCAAGGAAGCUUGCGCGAUGUGACACAGACAGCAAGAGAUCAGGAGGUCAGUUCAGGCUGGAUCACGUGAGGCUUUUCAAUGAUGGCUGUCAUCUGAAGCACGCAGAAGGCGGUUACUGUGAGAGUUACGGAUUGGGAGGAUUGUUCUGGGGACUGGGUAGGAAGUAAACUGGAGGGACAUUGGAGAAAGCACAUUGGAGGCUACUGAGUGCACGAUCUCGAUGAGAUGACCUGACCAUAGCUUAAACUAUAGAGGGACGGUGGGGAUGGAAAAUGGAGGCUCAAUUUGUAAUCUACUCCAGACACAGACUAGCAGAACUCAGCGUUAAGUGGGUCACUGUAGAAGGGCAGAAAACGAAAGCAGAAGACCAAGCUUGCCUCCUCAUUUUUAAGUUACACAACAGAGUCGAAGGUACCAUUUGAUGAUACGAAUGAUACAGACAUUGGUGAAGAAGUCCAGAGUCUCACCCUGAACAGAGCACUCUGAAAUGUUUCCCGUGGGUCUGAGAUUCUGCAGCAUCAAGAGCGGGUCUAGACAAGAAACCUGGGGCUCAGCAGAAUGGCCAUCUUCAGCCUCUAAACAAGAAAAUCAUCUAGAGAGAGAAUUUUAAAGAAGAAGAUGGCACAAAAAAAAGAACCUGGAGCUGGAGCUGUCACCUGGCCGGGAGAAUUUGUAUCCCUUUGUGUCCUGUCUCAGGAGAAAGGGGGAGCAGAUGGAGCCUUUCUUCUGCUUGCUGUUUCUCCAUUGCCUUCAGCUCAACAGCAAACUUUAAAUUGAAGCUACAGAUGACAGAAUCUGCACACAUAGCAACGGGGAUGAUCAGAAGCAGCAAACGCAGUCAUGUGGGGGUAGGUCAUCCAAAAGGGAACGACAUCACAGGGAAAAGCUCAUCUUUUCCCAGUCUUUGUUAUGGUAAAAUACAUAUAAUACAUAUAACACUAGCAGCUCCA
rnacentral:lncRNA from 1 species